AAGUGAAAAUUUUGAAAAAUAUACCGCUAAAAAUUAUUGUGUAAAAAAAGCACUACCUUUAAAAAAAACUGCAUACAAAAUACCAGAUUAAAUUGUUAAACAAAUUCCAAGUCCCCAAUCUAUCAAAAAAAGUUUCCUUGCCAGGUAAAAAAGAGUUUAAAUAAAGGGGCUUAAGUGGGCUAAGUUCGUUUUUUCAUCGGUAUGGCACGCUGAAAAGGCGCCAUUCUUAAGAAGCGUCCCUCCAUUUUUUUUAAACUCCUAAAUAAUUACAGCUCGACGUCAUAAUGCAGCGCCACAGGGAAUUAUAUAAACAGCAAUCACUUGCUUUCAGCCCACGCAAUUUCAAUGAGCAGAACCGGGAACUCCAGAAUGCGGCGCGUGCAAAACAGCGCGAGGAUCGUUUUUAAAGCAACCGCAUUAUUAGUGUUAGUCCAACUCCCGUCAAGCGUGCGGCACCUAUACCGCCCUCAGAGGAGGCGCAGCCACGCCUUACCUAUGUCGCUCCUCCUAAGGAGAAUCGAAAACCAGAGCUGCCUCAGCAGCAGAGGAACCCCACCCGGGACCUUUACAUAAAGCGCUUCGUGGAUUGGAAGGCUGCCAGGAAGGAACAAACAAAG